AAUGCUCUACCAGCCUGGGCUUCGAAGCCUGCAGGAAGCCUCCCCAGCCACGCGAGUUCCAGAAACGCGUUCUGUUCAAAUUCCGCCCUCGGCAAUUUCAUUUACUGCCUUCCUACAGUCGUCAAUGUCACCUACUUUUAUCUCUGAACUCUUCUGUUGGUGAUCUGUGUGUCUCGUCUCCUCAAAAAGAUCUGGAGUGUUUUGAGGGCAGAGACCCCGGAUCCGUGGUCUUGGAACCAGGAAGCCAACCGACUCUCUCCCCGAAUAAGUACUUUCCUCUUUAAUGACUAUUUGUCUAGUUGCCUAGCUAUGUCUCUUCUCCCCAGCCUUUCUUGCAAACCCUUUGGGGAGAUGUGGCUUAAGUCAUCACAGGGUUUAGAAAAGUGCUUGGCGGGGCGCCUGGGUGGCUUGGUCGGUUAAGCGUCCGACUUCGGCUCAGGUCAUGAUCGCACGGUCUGUGAGUUCGAGCCCCGCGUCGGGCUCUGUGCUGACAGCUCAGAGCCUGGAGCCUGCUUUGGAUUCUGUCUCCCUCUCUCUCUGCCCCUCCCCUGUUCAUGCUCUGUCUCUCUCUGUCUCAAAAAUAAAUAAACGUUAAAAAAAAUUUAAAAAAAAAUA
rnacentral:lncRNA from 1 species